UUUAUUUGCUUAAUCAUAUGAUUAUGACAAUAUAAGUUUGCGAUGAACAUGUCAUUUUCGUGAUAUUAUAUUUAUAUAAAUUUGUUAUAUUACAUUUAAUUAAAAAAUCUUUUAAGUAAUUUUAAUAAGGAAUAGAAAAUAAAAAUUGAUUAUUUAAUAAGAAUAAAAACUUUAUUUGUGCAAAUAACCUUACAUACAGAAAACAUCACAAACACUAUGAAUAUAAAGAAAACUAAGUAAAUGAAAGAUUUCGUAUAAAUUAUACAUUUAUAAAACUUUAAUACAAGAAAUUUGUUAAGUAAUAAGAAUUUCUUAACAAGAAAUUUUUAUAUUAAAAUUCGGUUUGAUGUUAAAGGUUAAUUAAAAUAUAAAAUAAAUAUUUUUCGUGUGUUAAAAUUAUACAAAAUAAUAAUCAAUAAAAAAAAUGUUCAAAUUUUUGAUAACCUUAGGCAUUGGAAUUUAUGCUGGUAUAUAUAUAAGUCAGAACUAUGAGAUACCACGUGUAGAUGAUCCUAGUAAAAUAAUAGAACGAAUAAAAGAAUUUGCAGAUGAAUAUAAAAAAAAAUAACAAUUUAUU